CACAAUUAAUAUUAACAUUUUACAUCGCCUCUGGUUGUCUUGUUUAUAUGUAUGUAUGUAUGUAUCUCCUUCAUCUUUCGUCUGCUCAGUGCUUUUGGUUCUUCGUUUAAGCGGUCGAAUUUAUUUCUCUUUUGUGCAUGUUCCGUAUGUUUUCGUAUUUGAGCGAACUGAAUUUGGGGGAUUUUUGGUUCUUUGGAAGCCCUUAUUUUUUGGGGCCUAAAGCUACUGCUUUAGUGGCUUUAGGGUUGAGCAGCCCUUGGUUCUUGAAGUUAUGGAGUUGAACUAAAUUCAUCUCCACAAAGAAGAGAUUUGAGAGAAUUUUGAAGCUACAAGUGAUACUUGGCAAGAGAAUUUGAGAGACCCGUAUCUUGGCGGGGCGACCCGGAAUGCAACCCGAGGUUUGCAGCCAUGGCGAUGUCUUCAUUCUCUUGUUUUAUAUCAACUAUCCAAGCUUCAAUUUUUACUCUACUAGCUUGUUUGGAUAGUUGUUAUCUGUUGUAUUGUACUCUUAUUCUAAAAUGGUGUGUAUGAAGGAAAAUGGUUUUUUUUGUGAUGGAUUUCAUCAGUGUUUGAAGAAAGUUGGGGAAUUUUCUGGUGAAAACUAAGAAUUUUCCUAGAAAUGUUAGUCCAGAGAGAAAAAUGAGGUCAAUAGAGAGAAGGGAUUUUUUUUGUUAAGGGUGGUUGCCCAUCUCUGUUAUGCCAAUGAUUUUUCUUUGUAGCAACUACAAAUCAACAGCCCUUUGUUCAUAAAAUACAAAAACAUUCAGCUGUGAUAAUUGAUACAUAUAUGAUAUAACUGUAGAUCUCAAUGUGUGUUGCUUCCCCCCCUUUGGAGUAAUUGUGCAAAAGAGGCUGUGAUGAUGAUAAUGUUUUACAUUCUGGGCUAAAAAAGUCAGGCAUUGAGGACAGUCUGAUCCGUAUCUUGGCUUGGCAAAUCCCAGGAUGGCCUGCAAUUUAGGCUCUCUUGCAUGCAACUUGUGAUUUUGUAGCCAUGGCGUAGUUGCCUUCUCUUUGCCUGAGCAAAAAUAUCUGAGCCUCAAAUCUUUUGGAAUCAAACUGGAGACCUCUUGUCCUUUGAAAUAUAUUGAGCAGGCGUUUGGCCAUAGGUUCCAAAUAGUUUUCACUUUACGUGCUCCAGCUACAGUCUAAAGAAUGAUUUUGAUAUAUCACUGAUAUGGGUACUUUAUCUUCUUAGAUAUAAGCCCAUGACAAUCUGUAUUUAAACCAAAUGUACUUUGCUUUUUCAAUGAAUGUUAUUGAUAGAUAGAUAGAUGUAUAGAUAGAGAAUAUGGGGCUAUAAUGAUAGUUUCUUCCCUUCUCUUUUUGAGCAACUCAAUAGGGCAAGAAAAUAAACGGAUCGUAUCUUGGCGGGGUAAUCCGGAUGGCUAGUGAUUUUAUGUCAUGCCAAUGGUGUUUGCAGCCAUGGCGAUGCCUUCAUUCUCUUUUCUUAUCAACAGAUCUGAGCCUUAAUACUCUUAUGGUGUCUUUGGUAUGAAUAAAAAAUAUUUAUCAUGAUGUAAUUGGUAUUUGUUUUCUCAUGUAUCCCUCUAAGAAGAGAAAUGUUGGGAAAUUUUCAAGUGAGAACCAAGAAUUUUCCUGAUAUAAAAGUCAGCCCAGAAAGAGAAACAAGGUUAAUAGACAAGGGAUUUUCUGUAAAGGGUCGUUGCCCCUCUCUGUUGUGCCUAUGAUUUUUUUUAGCAACUAAACCAACAAGCCUUGUUUAUGAAAUACAGAAAGAAAUAGAUCAUGGAAAAACAUGCAUUAAGCUUCAUCUGUUUUCAAUCUACAACUUCAGCCACAAAAUUCUCUUUUUGAGUACAUAUGUUUGGCGCAUUUUCUUUUCCUCUUUCUGAGUGAGUAAUAGUGAAGCAUUGAUGGUCAUUUUUCAAUAUCCGGGCUGGAAAAAUAUGGCAUCGAGACAAUCUGACCCGUAUUUUGGCCUGGCAAUUCCCUUCUUGUGUAUUCAACUGGUGAUUUUGCAGUCAUGGCAUGGUUGCCUUCUUCCUUUUCCAAACUGUUUGAAAUGCUUUACUUGUGCCGAGGGUCUAUCGGAAACAACCGCUCUACCUUCACAAGGUAGGGGUAAGGUCUACGUACACUCUACUCUCCCCACCCUUACCAGACCCCAUAUGUGGGUUUACAUUGGGCAUGUUAUUGUUGUUGGAGAGGCUGCCUUCUCUCUGCCUGAUCAAAAUGCAAACCCCGAGCCACAAUUUCUACCACUAGACCAAGACACCCUUCCUUUUCACUCUAAGCAGUAAAUAAGUAUUCAACAAUGGAAAACUAGAAAGAUUGGUGCCUUAAAAGACUUGGCAUUGCCGCAAGCAGAUGAUAAAUAAGCUCAGAAAGUAGAAUGAGGCUUGCGGAGAGAGUAGUUCUUAUAAGGGUGGUUGCCCCUCUCUGCAACUCCAGUGACUUCUCAUACGAGAAAAAAUCAAACAGCCCUUUAAAUCUUAGGGAAAUUGUUCUAACACCUGGUUGUAGUAUUUGUCCAAACAUUGACCACUUGGCCAAUCGUACUCUGGUUCUUGUUUUAUGGUUUUGGACUCAAAUGUUUAUUUUUUCUAGGAGUUGUACUAAACUCAUCUCUGCACUCCCCAAAAAAAAAAGGAAACCGAGGCUGUGAUGAUAGUUCCUUCUUUCUCUGAGCAAAUGAAUCGGACAAGAAAAAUGGAAGGACCUGUUCUUGGCAGGGCAAUCCCGAUGGUUAAUGACUUUGUGUCAUGCAAUCGGUGUUUGCAGCCAUGGCGAUGUCCUCAUUCUCGUCUUAAUAACAGAUCUGAGCCUCAACUUCACUCUUAGGCUGUCUUUGGUAUGACGAUGAAACGAGUACUUGAUUACCAAUGUAUCCCUCUGAGGACAGAAGAAUUAUGAAAUAUUUUCAGGUGAGAGCAAAGGAUCCUAAAAGAGGUCAGCCCAGAAAGAGAAAUGAGGUUAACAGAGAGGUUUCCCCUCUCUAUUGUGCCAAUGAUUUUCGGUAGUUACUAAUCCAACAGUCGUUGAUGAGAUACUCAGAAACAGAAGAUGAAUCCAUAUAUCUCAGUGACACUGUGUAUAUUCUUGGGGAAUUUGCAGAAAUUGCCUUUUGGAAUCAGUGAUGAUAAAUUAAUAAUGUCCCUUUUUGGGUUAACAAAAUGGGGCGUUGGAGACUAUCCGACCCGUAUCUUGGCCUGUCAAAUCCGUAAAUGGCCUGCACCUGAGGUCUCUCUUUUGCAUGCAACCAGUGAUUCUGCAGCCAUGGCGUGGUUGCCUUCUCUUUGUUUGAGCAUUGUUGUAUUUGAGCCCUAAAUCUCUGAGAAUCGAACUUGGGACCUCUUGUGCUUUGUAAUCUGCUAAUGUUUGUUCCAAAGUUUUAACACAAGUUGCAGAUCAAAAGAAUAAAGUAUAACAGAAGGAAAUCCCUGCCAAGAUACAGUUUUAUUAGAUCCAUAGGCUAGCUUAAAUACUUCUCAUCAGAGCCUCUAUACUGACAGGUGGCAAUGGAGUUAGCAACUAAGAAGCUACAGAAGAGGACAACAAUGAUAUACACAUGAACAUGCAUAUUACUAUUGUCCCAAGUUGACCUCCAUUUACAUCUUACAAGUGGGAGUCCAGUGGAUUUCACAAGCAUACCUUUCUUUGCCUUUUAUGCUACUGCCAAUGUGAGGAAACACAAGAGGUCCCUAGUUCGAUUCUCAGAGAUACUUCAAAAUCACCAUAAGGAUCCAUGGUGUAAUGGUAGCGCGUCUGACUCCAGAUCAGAAGGUUAUGUUGCGUGUUCGAUUGACGUUCCGUUCAUAUUCUUGAUAUAUUAGGGUCCCAAAAACCCUUGUCAGAGCUACUAGUAAUGCUUUCUUGCUUUCUGAUUCUCUGAACUUAAACCCAACAGCGUAUCUUUGAAAUGUCCAAGCAGACUCUAUAUAGUAAAGUUACAAUUUCUCCAGAGACAGUAAUGAUGUUACUAAUAUGGGAUGAUAUUGGGGCCAUGGAAACAAUCUGACCCGUACCUUGGCAGGGUAAACCUGGAUGGUUUGUGAUUUAGGCUUCUCUUUCACAUGCAACCGAAUCUUUUGCAGCCAUGGCAUUGCCAGGUUCUCUUUGCCUCAUCUGUUUGCAGAUCUGAGGCUCAAUUUCCAGCUAGUCCUUGUGGACUUUCAGGAUUUGAACACAGGACCUUGUCGUGUGGAAAGUUGAAACCCAUGUCAUUUUUGAAUUGUACAUGUUUUUGUUGUUGUUGUUGUUGCUGCAUCUUCUUCGCUUUCCUUUGUUCUUGAUGGUAAUGGCUGUGUUAUCAAUCAAAUAGCAAAAGAUUAAUGCAAGAUCAGGGAGAUUUUAUUUGUUACCUAUUCAAACAAAAGAAAAGAACAGGGAGACUCUAUGGCUGUGAUGAUAUAAUGCUUGUUUUUUUAGCAAUUUGAAUUGGGCGUUGAGAUGAUAAGAGCUGUAUCUUGGCAGGGUAACCAGACGAGGUAGCAGCCAUGGCAGUUUCUGAUAAACUCAAUACCCGAUUUAAUUGAAAUCUGAGCCUUGUUAUUUUACAUGAUGCACAUUAUAUUGUCUGUAUACAGUAUACACAACACACGAAAAAGAAGAAGAAGAUACAUAUCAUGAGAAAAUGUCCAAAAUAGUCCCUUAUCGAGGCGGUGAUGAUCUUUAAAUCUAUCCUCCUGAGCUAGUAAUUGAGCAUAGAGUAUCGACCUAUAUCUUGGCGGGGCAUGAUCCAGUUGCCUGUUUUUUUGUUACCUGCAACUGGGGGUAUUGCAGCCAUGACGUGGCCGGACUUCUUUGCCUGAGCAUAAAACAGAUCUGAGCCUCAAUUGUCACUUAUAUGAGUCCAGUGUUAUCAAAGGUGUGCUUAAAGCCCGCUUAAGCCCUGAAGCGAGGCUCAAAAUGUGUUGAGCACUUCCCUCGCUUAAUGUGUGCUUUAGUGUCAUCAUCAAGAUUCUAAGAGAUACUUUUCCUUGCCAAUGAAUCUCUUCUGAAGAGACGACAUUAAACCAUUGAUAUUUUACUUUAUCAUAAUUAUUUUCCAAUUUCUUUGUUCAUAUAUUUGUCAUUCAUGCUUAUAAAUCAUUACUCUUAGACCAAACAUAUAUAUUUGUAUUUUUUCUUCCUUUGCGCUUUUUUUCAUUAAAGCCCAUGCUUUAUUUGCGCUUAAAGCCCCAACGGACCUUAGAUCUUUUUUGCACUUUUUGCUUUUGAUAACAAGUUAUAUCUUACUUUGGGUGUAUUUGAUAUUGAAGGAAACUGUUCCAGUGAAUAAAAUUUGCUUGAAUAUUAUGGUCAAGUUUCAUCUUUUGGAUAAUCCAUUGACUGCAAAUGUUGCAGAAGGUGACAAAAAUGGCGAAAAUCUCAUUAGUUUAAGUCUGAAUAAAGACCGGAACGGAAUUCAUUUGUUUAAUAUAUACGAGGUACCGGUCUUUAUUCAGCCACACCGAAAUAGUUCUGUGGAUUAGACUUUUUCUGAUAUGUCAAAUCUGAGCCUCUUUACCGUGUUAAGUUUAGUUCUACAAUGGGUAGUCUGUUUCUUUCAUCCUUUACGUCUUUUUAUGAUCAUACAACAACAUACCUAGUGAAAUCCACAAGUGGUGUUUGGGGCGGGUGACGUGUACAGACCUUGCCCCUACCUUGUGAAGAUAGAGAAGUUGCUUCCGGUAGACCCUCGGCUCAAAUAAAGUAGACGGCUUACUUUUUUUUUAUGAUCAUGUUGUAUAAUAUUGGUUUGAGCUGAGUCUAAACGAGUGACAUAAUGAGUAUUCUUAUAGUUGAUCCUAGCUUGCCUUAUAUUUUCCAAACGCCUACUUGUGGGAAGUUUCCCAUCUUUCAAUAGAGGCUGUGAUGAUAAUGCUUAUGGCAAAACCCUCAUCAUAGUUUAGCCCAGAAAGGAAGAAUGAGACAUUAGAAGAGAUGGGAUUUUCUGUAAAGGGUGGUUGCCCAUCUCUGCAAUGUCCAUGAUUUCUUCUCCAUUCAUAAAAAACCAACAGCUCUUUCAGACAAAAAAAAGAUGUUAAUUUUCAUGUAGAUAUAUGCUUGUAAAAAUUUCUUCUUCUGCUGCUACUACAGCUGAUAUUUCGAUAGUAACCUUUAUCUCCCUGUAAAAUACAGUGGGUAGCCACUUUUAAUGGGACAUUUACAAGAAUGUUGAUUGAUCUGAAAAUGGGCUGUGAUGAUGAUUUGCUUCUUUUUGGGCUAUAGUCUACUUCAUCGAGUUGAGAAAAUCCGACCCGGACUUUGGCAGGGAGACCCGGUAAGGCAUCCAUUUGUGAAUCGGUGUCUUGCAGCCUUGGGGAUGUCGCUUUCUCUUUGCAUGUUGGUAGAACAGCAAAAUCUGAGCCCUAAAGUGUACGACAACCAUUUGAUGGUCUUGAAUGGAUGGUCGUUCUCGGGAACUGUGAUACUCAAUUGGGUUCUUCAUUCUUUGUUGAGCACCCCAUUUUUCAGAUGCAGUUCUCCAUCAAAUUUUAGCUAAACAAUGUGGUAAUCGGAGAAAAUAAAGGGAUUUUUCAGGGUGGUUGACCAUCUCCGGUGUGCCAGUAAUUUUAUCUUUAGCUCUAAUUAACAGCCCUUUUAGCAUAUGUAUGAAGAUAUGUAUGUAUAUAUAUAUAUAUAUAUAUAUAUAUACAUAUAUAUGAGUGUGUGUGUGUGUGUGUGUUUAUUGUGUCUCUUUCUGUUUCUCUAUCUAUGAUUACUUUGAUCCUGCGUGGCUGGAUUUUCAGGCCAAGCAGCAGCAAAAGCAUGGAAAACAGACAGUUAAGCAGACCAACAGGUGUUCAUCGGAUCCUUCCAAAAUUAUGCAUUUUUGAAGAAUCCGACACGGGUGCGGAACAUUUUUGGAGAGUCCGAGCAAACAUAGGAUUACAAAAUGGAGGUUCGGCCCAGUAUUAGGAAUGAGGCCGACAGAGAGAAAAGGAAAUUCUUGGAGGGUGGUUGCCCCUCUGAUUAACCUAUGAUUUCCCAUAAACAAAUCAACAACCCUCUUCAGAAGUACUAGUACUCUUUCUUGUUUCCUCUGAGCUUAGCAAACCUACUCUGAUCUUAUCUUAUGUUUGUUAAAAAUUGCUCGAAAUUGUCCAAAUGCCUACAUGUGGGAAAGUUCCCAUCUUUCAGAAGAGGCUGUGAUGAACUGAUGAUAUUGUUAGUCUGGGCUGAUGUUCGGGGCAUGGAGACAAUCUGACCCAUAUCUUGGCUUGGAAAACCCGGAUGGUUUGUGAUUGAGUCUUCUCAUUCACAUGCAACCGGUUCCUUUGCAGCCAUGGUGCUGUCAUGUUCUCUUUGCCCCAUUUUUUCCGCAGAUCUGAGCCUCAAUUGAAAACUAGAUUUGGACCGGAUUCGAACCCAGGACCUCUUAUUUGGUGAACAUUUGGGUUAUUCAGUUUUUCUUGAACACCUUAUUGCUGUUCUCCAUCAAAGUGUAGUUAAAAGAAUGAUGCAAUUGGAGAAAAAAUGGGAGCUUCUCAGGGUGGUUGACCAUCUCUGUCAUGCCUGUGAUUUCUAUAUCUUUUUGCUCUAACUAAUAUUAAGGACCAUUUUUGAUCAUUUUGUGUCUGUUUUGUGUUACUGUGAUACUCUGUUCCUCAGAGGCUGCGGUUUACUGGAAAAGCAUCAGCAAAAGCAUACAACAAUGAAAUACAAAAGGAAAAUAAUGGGUUAUGAUGAUUAUUUUACUGAGCAAAUAGAAUCAGGCAUUGUUAUUUCAGGCCCCUAUCUUGGCUGGGUGACCCGUAUUAUAGGAUUUGCAGCCAUGGCAGGGUCAAUUAACUCAAUGCCUGAGAUAAAUUAAAGAUCUGAGCCCAGAAGGAAGAAUUAGGCCAACCAAUAACCCUCUACUUUUUUCUUUGGUAUAUUAAGGGGUGUUCAUGGUUCGGUUUAGUUUUGACCAAAAAAGAAGGCAAAUAUCUGUUGCCAUUGAUGUGAUGCUGAUGUCAAUGGUACUCCCCCAGUUUCAUUAUAUUUGUCAUGUAACUGUCCAAAUUGCUAGGGAAUAGUUUCCAUCUUUCCAAAGAUGCAGUGAUGAUGUUGCUAAUAUAGGCUGUUAUUUCGGCAGUGGGCACAGAGAAAACCCGACUUGUAUCUUGGCAGGGCAAACUCGGAUCAUGCAAUUAGUUCAUUUUGCAGCCAUGAUGUUGUCGUCUUCUCUUUGCCCCAUUUUACACAGAUCUUAAUCUGAGCCUCAACUUCCAAUUAGGAAGGGGUCACAAAAACGGAUAUCUGUGCACUUCCCCCAUGUUACUACAACAACAACAUUACCCAGUGUAAUCCUAAAAGGUGGGGUAUGGGGAGGAUGGGGUGUAAGACUAACUUAACCCGGACCUUUGGUAGAGUAGAGAGGUUGUUUCUGAUAGACCCUUUGGCUCAAGAAAAGUGUUUUUCAGAACAGGUUUGAAAAAUAUAAAAAGCUAGGAUGAAAAUAUUGAAGAAAGAAAAAGUAUUGACAACAAAAAUAGUAAAAAUAACUUCCGUCAGGUUAAUGCGUUGAGAAAACCCUACCCAUAUCUUGGCGGGGCAACCUGGUAUGGCAUCAUCUAGAAACAUGUCUCUUCUUAUGCUACCACUGCUGAUUUGCAGAAAAGGAAUACUGAAAUGGGCUGUGAUGAUUGCUUUCUUCUGGUCUACCUACUUACCAGCUUUGAGAAAAUCUGACAUGUAUCUUGGCGGGGCAAUCCAUUAUGGCAACAUUACAACCAGUGUCUGCAGCCAUGGCAUGUGUAGCUUUCUCUUUGCAUAUCUUGGUGUGGCAUCUUUUGGGGGUCUUGUGAGAUAUGGGAGCUAUUUAGGUUUCUGUAUCUCACAAAGACUUCUUAAGGUUGCAGGGGUUUAGCUUAUGUCUGAGAAAAGGUUAAUCUGAGCCUCCCAAAUAUUUGUAUUUGUUCGAGAAAGGUUGACAUUUUCUAAGGGUGGUUAUUCUCUUUCUCUGAAGUUCAAUUUAGCCGAUGAAUUUUCCAGCACUUUGUUACAAAGAGAAAGAUUAACAACCCUUUUCAUCAGCUAAUGUCAAUUAUGCUCUUGACGAUGACAAUGAUGAUGAUGGUGAUUAGCCAUGGUUAUUGUAGCAAUAAGGGAACAUAGAUAUUCAAACCCCCCAACUUGUCCAGGAAAACCUGAUUCCUAAACCCUGAACAUUGUGAAUGAGGCUGUGAUAAUAUGCUCCUGGAAGCUUGAAAAUCAAAUUUUUGAGCUGAUUAGUAUCUUGGCUAAGCAAAAGUAGGGGAAUUUGUGAGGUAGGUAUAUGUGCUUCUCACAAAGAUGGCUGCUUUUUGCAGCUAUGAGAAGAGGCAGCGAUGAUGAUGUCCCACUUUCUUGGCUAGCUGACUCUAGAAUUUGUACAAUUUGACCUGAAUCUUGGCCUGGCAAAUCAGUGGAUGGUCGGCAUUUGGGAUUUUCUAUUUUGCACGCAAUCAGUGAUUUUGCAGCCAUGGUGUGGUUGCCUUUUCUUUGCCUGAUCAAGAUCAUAUUUGAGCCUUAAAUUUCUGGGAAUCGAACUUGGGUCCUCUUUGCUUUGAAAUCCUUUAGAACUCAAGCAUACAGUGGUACGAGCCAAUAGAACAGAUCCUGUUCAAUUAAGCUUGUCAUUAAGAUCCAGUAAUGUCUGCUCCUAAUUUGUAGCUCAAGCUCCAGAUCUAGAAUGAGGUACCAAAAAUAUGUGUACUUUUCUUUUUUCUGUAAGCCCAUGGUUUCAAUGCCAAAAGCACUUUACUUUCCCAUUGACUGUGUUGACUAGAUAGAUAUAUAGAUAGAAAAUAUCUGCAUUUGCAUUUCCAUGCGGCCCCAUAUAAAAGAAUCUAUCGACAACUACCCCAUGUGCAAAUAUACUAUUGAUUGAAAAUGCUAGAGGAACGGAUUAAACCUUUGAACUGUGUUUAACAGUGACACGCUCUAACGAUUGCUUUCUUUUUGGGCUAUAUACCUUCCUGCACUGCUAAUAUCCGACCUGUAUCUUGGCAAGGCAACCCGGCAUGCAUCAUCCGCAAGUCCGUGUCUGCAGCCAUGGCGUGGUCGAUUUCUCGAAACCGGAAAAUGUUUUCCUCCAUGCCGAACACACCCUAGCUCUCUAAAGUUAAAAUUAAUUCCAAGACCAUAGAUCUAUAAAGAGUCUUUUACUCAACAAUGAGAAUCAUCCCAGAAGGAAGAAUGAGGUCAACAUAGAGAACAUGUAUUUCUUGGAGGGUGGUUGACAUCUCUGAUUGGCCUAUGAUUUCUCCUUCCACCAAACCAACAACCCUCUUUUCUGUGGAAAUUUUCCAAGAAGGCAAAUAUCUAUUGCCAUUGAUGUGAUGCUGAUAACUGCAGUAGUACUACUUCCUCUGUUCCAAUUUACUUGCCUUGAAACUGUCCACAAAUUGCUAUAGAAAAGAUUCCAUCUUUUGAAAGAGGCAGUGAUGAUAUUUAUAAUCAGGGCUGAAAAUCGGGCCAUGGAAAAAACCCGACUCGUAUCUUGGCGGGGAAAAUGUUGAUCAUGCAACCGGUUCAUUUUGUAGCUAUGGCGUUGUUGUCUUCUCUUUGCCCCAUUUACACAGAUCUGAGCCUCAACUGCCAAUUUGUCAUUGUAGAAUCUGCCGGACUCUAAAUCAGAACCUCGUUAGAUGGAAAAACAGUUUAUUUUGGCUCAAAAGACUUGAGGCAAUUGGAGAAAAAUGUGGACUUUUUCAGGGGUUGACCAUCUCCGGUAUGUCAAUGAUUUCUUCUUUGCUCAACCAGCAGUCCUUUUAGCAUUUGUGUGUGGGCCAAAGUGCAUAGAUAACCUUUUAGGACCGCUAUUUAUGGAAUAGUCGAAGUUUAGCGCAGUAUGAAGGCAUGGCAACUUGAAUGGUUUGCGAUAGUGUUUCUUUCACACUUUAACGAGUUCUUUUGCAGCCAUGACAUUGUCACCUUCUCUUUUCCCCAUUUUCCCGCAGAUCUGAGCCUCAAUUUCCUUCUGGUCCUUCUGUGGAUAUUUCAGGACUCGAAUUCAGGACCUCGUCGGGUUGAAACCCAUGUCAUUUUCAUCUUAAUAUCAGCUCAAAGAAUGAGGCAUGUUGUUGUUGCUGUUGCUGCUGCAUCUGCUUCGGUUCCUUUUCUUCUUAUCAAUCAAGAAGCAAGAAAUCAAUUUGAGAGCAGGGAGAAUUCAAAGGCAAUGAUGAUUAUUCUUAAUGAAAAUGAAAAGUGAAAGAUUUGGAGUUGAUUCAUGGCCUGGCUUGGCAAUAAAAAUUGGAAGGUCUUUCUUACAAGGCAACUGAUGAUUGCAGCCAUGGCGGUGUUAACUCUGCUCUUUCCUUUGAUUAAAUAGGCGAAAAUCUGAGCCUCAUCCUUUGUUUUUUUACAUUUUUUUGACUAGUCUCUUUGCAAAUAGUUUGACUAGAAAUAUUUGAAAUGAGGCUAAAUACAUUUUAUCCAAAUGAUUUUGGAGCUGGAUGUUAAUCAGGGAAAUUUGCAUGGUCUUGAGACUCUUCA